UACAGAGGUCUCAAGCGUUGUUCGGAUUCAUUGGGCGUAAAGGGUGCGUAGGCGGCGCGGUAAGUCGGGUGUGAAAUUUCGAGGCUUAACUUCGAAACUGCAUUCGAUACUGCCGUGCUUGAGGACUGGAGAGGAGACUGGAAUUUACGGUGUAGCGGUGAAAUGCGUAGAUAUCGUAAGGAAGACCAGUGGCGAAGGCGGGUCUCUGGACAGUUCCUGACGCUGAGGCACGAAGGUCCAGGGGAGCAAACGGG
rnacentral:rRNA from 1 species